rnacentral:rRNA from 1 species
CACGUGGGCAAUCUGCCCUGCACUCUGGGACAAGCCCUGGAAACGGGGUCUAAUACCGGAUAAUACUGUGCCCCUCAUGGGGGACGGUUGAAAGCUCCGGCGGUGCAGGAUGAGCCCGCGGCCUAUCAGCUUGUUGGUGGGGUAAUGGCCUACCAAGGCGACGACGGGUAGCCGGCCUGAGAGGGCGACCGGCCACACUGGGACUGAGACACGGCCCAGACUCCUACGGGAGGCAGCAGUGGGGAAUAUUGCACAAUGGGCGAAAGCCUGAUGCAGCGACGCCGCGUGAGGGAUGACGGCCUUCGGGUUGUAAACCUCUUUCAGCAGGGAAGAAGCGAAAGUGACGGUACCUGCAGAAGAAGCGCCGGCUAACUACGUGCCAGCAGCCGCGGUAAUACGUAGGGCGCAAGCGUUGUCCGGAAUUAUUGGGCGUAAAGAGCUCGUAGGCGGUCUGUCACGUCGGGUGUGAAAGCCCGGGGCUUAACCCCGGGUCUGCAUUCGAUACGGGCAGACUAGAGUGUGGUAGGGGAGAUCGGAAUUCCUGGUGUAGCGGUGAAAUGCGCAGAUAUCAGGAGGAACACCGGUGGCGAAGGCGGAUCUCUGGGCCAUUACUGACGCUGAGGAGCGAAAGCGUGGGGAGCGAACAGGAUUAGAUACCCUGGUAGUCCACGCCGUAAACGUUGGGAACUAGGUGUUGGCGACAUUCCACGUCGUCGGUGCCGCAGCUAACGCAUUAAGUUCCCCGCCUGGG